GAUGAACGCUGGCGGCGUGCCUAAUACAUGCAAGUCGAGCGAACAGACGAGGAGCUUGCUCCUCUGACGUUAGCGGCGGACGGGUGAGUAACACGUGGAUAACCUACCUAUAAGACUGGGAUAACUUCGGGAAACCGGAGCUAAUACCGGAUAAUAUAUUGAACCGCAUGGUUCAAUAGUGAAAGACGGUUUUGCUGUCACUUAUAGAUGGAUCCGCGCCGCAUUAGCUAGUUGGUAAGGUAACGGCUUACCAAGGCAACGAUGCGUAGCCGACCUGAGAGGAGGAAAGGAGAAAUUGGAACUGAGAAACGGUAGAGACUCCGACGGGAGGCAGCAGUGGGGAAUAUUCGGCAAUGGGCGAAAUCUUGAAGCAGCAAUAUCGAGUGAGUGAAGAAGGGCUUGGGGUUGGAAAGACCUGUGGUUAGGGAAGAAAAAAAGCGGGUGCAAACAUGGCGGGUGUGACGGUACCGAAAGAAAAAGAACCGGCUAACUUCGUG
rnacentral:rRNA from 1 species